CUGUGUGGUUGUCCUAAGCCUAUGCUCCUGUGUUACACCCAGUAAGACUUGGGAAUGGAUUUGGACUUUUAGACAUCAAUCAUAUCUUACCCACAGUUGUCCAGAACCUGCAGAGCCUUCUCUAUCACAACAGCAGUCAGUGAUAAACCCCACAGCAGCAGAAACACAGCAAAGGCAAACAAAACAUGAGGAAUCCUUUCAUUAAAGUUCAGAAAAUCACUACAGGUGAAACCUUUGGUGCAGAUGAAGUUGUGAUGAGAAGGGUGAAGCUGGAAGAUACGAGGGGGAAUGCACAACACGUCAUCCUUUUCUGCCCAAUCAUCUCUCGUGUUGGUUCAGAUGUUGAGGCUGCCUUGAAAAGAGUGGCAUAUGGUCAAAGGGUCAUCCUGGUUCUGAUGCACCACACCAGAGAUGCUGACUACUCAACAGCAGGAGGAAAGUGGUCCGAUUAUAUUGAAAAUGUUGACUUGGAUGUUGACAUUCUCUACCAUGAAAGUGUCCCAGGAUUACUGACCUGUGCACAAAACGAUAAGGCUGUUUUACAAAUACAGAGUUUUUUAGCACCAAACCAAAAUAACUCCGGUUCUAAUAGGGAUUUGGAUUUUUGGCAUUCGAUGAGGCUUUGGUAUUGGUCUUUGCAUUCAGAUAGGACUUGGGUGAGGCUUUGGUAUUGGUUUUGGCAUUCAGAUAGGACUUGGAUGAGGCUUUGGUAUUGGUCCUUGCAUUCAGAUAGGACUUGGAUGAGGCUUUGGUAUUGGUCUUUGCAUUCAGAUAGGACUUGGAUGAGGCUUUGGUAUUGGUUUUGGCAUUCAGAUAGGCUUUGGAUGAGGCUAUGGUAUAGGUUUUGGCAUUCAGAUAGGCCAUAAAAGUGGCUUUUUGGUUGGUCUUUCAAAUUGCUUCUGUAAGACCAAAAGAAAAGCUACUACCCUCUAAAGUUGCUUAUGCCUUCGAGCUUUUCAAUUGUUCUUUACCCUGGAGCCAUCAAUAUUUUUAAAUAAAACCUAUUAUAGUGCAAACUGAUAAUACUGAAGACAUUCACUACUUACCGUACUAAAAAUGUAUCAAAUUUAGUUUAAAUUUAGCAUAGAAAUGGUACAGAGUUACAAAGCUGGGUUUAUUUUCUUAAAGGUGUCUCACCAGAUGUGUGUCUAUCUGAUCAGUCCCUGCUGUUAGUGUAGCUGCUUGCUCUCUAUCACACAAAUAUAGACCUUUGUCAAAUUUUAUGAAAACCUGGCCUUCCAGAAUAAUAACUGUACUUCAUUUGCUUUUAUUUUUCCAAUCUUUCUUCCUGACAAUGUGGCCUGCCAAAAGAAGAUGAUCACUUUUAUCCUAAGAAAAUAUAUCUCUCCUUCAACUAAUUUGUCUUAUAAGGAGAAUAAUGAAAGAUUGGAGUUAAUAAGUUAAAUACCUGGAGAAAACUAUCUAUAAUUGAGAAGUAAACAAAUCUAUUAUAUGGAAAUACCUAGGGUUUUACAAGUUCUUAUGCGAAUGAUUAUGAAAUUACAAGAUCCUUUUAUGCAUGAAAAAGUUUCCUAACAACUCCCCAUGAUAAAGUACAACUUUUAAAAGCCACCUCACAACUUUAGACCAAUACAGCUCAAGGCACCAGGUAAACUUGUAAAACACCAAUAACUGUGUGAUUUCAGUUUUGUGUUUUAGUGAAAAAAAAUUAACAUAAAUAGAUUAAAUACAGGUUCCCUUAGAAAUAUGUCUUAUGUGCAUAUGCAACUUGGGAGCUUGGGCAAAAGACUGGAGAUGGAUCUGUGAAGCUGUCAACAAGAAGGGGCAGAAAAGGCUAUAUUUUGAGAAAGCUUAUAGAAAACUUACAGAAGAUAUGCAGCAAGAUGGUAGAUAUACCUUUUAUAAGUAUGUUGUAGGGAGCGUAAUCUAUUUUGUCAUUGUCUGUUGUGUUAGCAGCUUCAGAGCAUAUGAUUUAAAGUACCUUAAGAAGUUUAUUUAAAAAAAAAGGCCUCUGAUCUGGGAUCUCCUCUAGAAUCUCAAGAGAUGAGAAAGAAAACGAAGAACAUUACAGACAACCCUUAGCCUCCUCUUCUUUAAACUGUUUUACAUUAACAGAGCAUCUUCAGUCAGAGGCUUCUCAGGCUCACUGUAAGACAGACUGACAUUUACAAACAACUUUAAGAGUUACAACAACAUUUAAGUUCUCUUUGGGAUUAAUGAAGUGAAAAUAAUUGUUAGUUGCUUCUUACACACACUAGCAAACAAAAAUAUCCAGUGGAAACUUGCUUAAAUGGACACAGACAGAAGCAUAAUGACAUGUACAUAGAAGAAAACAUACCGCAGCUGAAUUGUUCUUAGUGGAUGUAGAAUUACAGAAACAAUCUCACUUGUUUAAUGUGUAGGCAUCCUCUCAUGCCCAUAAGUCAGAAAUUCAGCAAGGCUUGUGUCAAAGUCCUUAAAAAAUACACUUUGAUUUUACAAAUAACGUCACAGUUAUUAAUGUUUGUGUCCAAAUGCAAUGUUUAUGAAAAUAAAGUUGGUUUGAUAAAUUGUUAUUUGGUGGGAUUUCAUAAAGAUCCAUUAGGGCUCUGUAAAUGAAAGAUAUCCUGUAUCCUCUGCAUGUUGGUAACCAUGUGUUAAAC